rnacentral:rRNA from 1 species
AGUGAACGCUGGCGGUAGGCCUAACACAUGCAAGUCGAACGGCAGCACAGUAAGAGCUUGCUCUUACGGGUGGCGAGUGGCGGACGGGUGAGGAAUACAUCGGAAUCUACUCUUUCGUGGGGGAUAACGUAGGGAAACUUACGCUAAUACCGCAUACGACCUACGGGUGAAAGCAGGGGAUCUUUGGACCUUGCGCGAUUGAAUGAGCCGAUGUCGGAUUAGCUAGUUGGCGGGGUAAAGGCCCACCAAGGCGACGAUCCGUAGCUGGUCUGAGAGGAUGAUCGGCCACAUUGGAGCGGAGACACGGUCCAGACUCCUACGGGAGGCAGCAGUGGGGAAUAUUGGGCAAUAGGCGCAAGCCUGAUCCAGCCAUACCGCGUGGGUGAAGAAGGCCUUCGGGUUGUAAAGCCCUUUUGUUGGGAAAGAAAAGCAGCAGGUUGAUACCCCGCUGUUCUGACGGUACCCAAAGAAUAAGCACCGGCUAACUUCGUG